CUGAAUUCCAUCUCUGCUUUGUAGGUCUGGCCUAGGGCAAGUCAUCUAAGUUAUACUUUCUGCGCCUGCAAAACGAAGCUGAAUUGUGUGUUCAUCUUCAAGCCAUCGUGAGCUCUGAGCAGCCCUCACAGAAGGACUCAGCUGAAAAGUGUAAGAGCUGUACUGAGCACUGCUUUCCUAAGUGAAAACCAGCAGGAUAAUUCCAAUACUCCUCAAAUGGAGAUGGACUCUAAGACAAGUUCAGAGAAUAUAGACAACCUCCAGGCUGAAGGACCCAGAGACCAAACUGUGUCCCCAGAAGAGACAGUGUAUGUUACCCUGGAUGUAAACAUCAAGCCAAGCAAGGGAAGGAAGCACAGGCUCCGUGUGACGGGGGAGCUCAUGGGAGGCCCGCAGCUCUGAGGCUGUCAGAAAGGCAGUGAGGACUCCUCCUGGCAGAGAAAGGCUGGUAUACAGCGCAGAAGGAACUGACGCAUUCUUAAACCUUGGAAUGGCCUCUCAGGUGUUCUCCUGAAAACCGCCACGUGAGAGUUAUCUUUUCUCCAAAGAGAAGCGAGACAGGGAAAGAGGAACAGGUAUUUGGUCAGUUUAACAACACAUCAACUGACUGUGUCAAAUUUUAUAUUCACACAGUUGGGAAGACCAGAAAAACUCUUCUCAAAUGCAGGGAACUUCACAAAGAUGAGUACAAACUCUGUGUCUAUGCUUUCAAAGGAGAAAGCAUAAGAAGGCUAUGUCCGCGGAUGGCAGACUUCUUUCCCUUCUGGAGAAGAGUGACUGGACCCUCAUUGGAAACCUGAGCAUUGUUUUAGACAGCUCACAGUUGGCCAAUGCCUUAGAGGGCGAGCUCUUUCAGCUUGAGGUUAAAAACAAGCAUAAAAGCCAGGGCACCAGCUGCUUGAAAUUCUCAGGUUGAGGUUGAAAAAAAGCAUGGAUGCCAGGGCACCAGCUGCUAGAAAUUCCGAGUCACAGGAAAUAAAGCCUUGUGUGUUGAAACAAACAAUCAUGGAAGACAAGCACCCCAGUUUGGAAAGAGAAAGUGAUAAAAUUAGAAAAACUUUGAGAAUAAUUUGGAUAAAACACAGGGGGGAAAAAUUGUUUGAAUUGCAUAAAACAGACUUUGGGAAACUGACCAAAAACUGCUCAGGUUGAAGUGCACAGACUUCUUUCCGGGCUCAGUGACUCAGUCGGGCACCUUUCAUGGCACAUCAGGAAGAGUGCAGGCUCUUCCGCUUGCUUUGUUUGGAAAGGGUUGUACAUUUCCACUCGUCGGCAUGUGAUGUAUCGGACCGUGGGAGAAGACAUAGAGUCACGUGAGUGUGCACACACACACGGUCAGUGUGUAAAGGGGACAUUUGCUUAUGAGAAGGCUGAAGAUGAAAAUAAGCACUGCUUCUCCUUGAGCGCUGGUUUGAGACACCUGAUGUAGAGCUCGACCACGCAGCUCUGAAAGUGAAGACACAGGGACAGCAAGAGCCUGAGGGGCUGUGUGAUGGGAAGGACCCUGGGCCAGACAGCAGCCUGGUGUGUGUUACUGGCCGUCCAGCUGGGGAGGCGAAGUCUACCGAUGCCUGUGCUGUGAUCCCUCAGGAUCAGCGGGAAGAGAAAUACUUGGAACACAUCCAGGCUAGAGCUGCAGACAGGCGUGGUGCUUGAACGCAGUACAUCCAUAUGCACACCGAGAAGAGUUUCCAGGAGGUAGUCCCCCAGCCUGAUGUGGCGACCCAUAACACCGCUUCUUACUUUGGGUCUCCGGCUCCCCCGUGUUUGAUUCUGAAGGCUCGUGGGUGCCACGUACACUGCAGGCUUCGCUUAUAAGUACCCACAGGGGAUUUCCAGCAUCACUGAAUUCAGCUGUACCCUGAAAUCCAUAUCUAUGAUGUUAAGAAAAAACACAGAAUGUGGUAGGAAGGACUGUUUCUAAACCUGCCAGAUUCAAAGAAAGGCAAUGGCACCCCACUCCAGUACUCUUGCCUGGAAAAUUCCAUGGACAGAGGAGCCUGGUGUGCUGCAGUCCAUGGGGUUGCUAAGAGUUGGACACGACUGAGCGACUUCACUUUCACACAUGGCAGAAGGAAAUGGCAACCCACUCCAAUGUUCUUGCCUGGAGAAUCCCAGGGAUGGGGGAGCCUGGUGGGCUGCCGUCUAUGGGGUCACACAGAGUCGGACAUGACUGAAGCGACUUAGCAGCAGCAGCAACAGUAUCUCCCCCUAAGUUCAGUUGCUUAAAGGCAGGACCCAAGACUUCUUCUCUCAUUAUCCACAAUGUCUGGCACAUGGAAAUUAAGGGCUUCAAAAAUACGUAGGUUCAUCAGUAGCAACACUUAGGGCUGCAGUUAAUCUUAGGUGUGUGGGUCAAUCGCUCAGUUGUGUCAGACUCUUUGCAACUGCAUGGACUGUAGCCUGCCAGGCUCCUCUGUCCAUGGAGUUUUCCAGGCAAGAACACUGGAGUGGGUUGCCAUUUCCUUUUCCAGGAGAUCUUCCCAAUCCAGGGAUCGAACCCACAUAUCUUGCAUCUUCUAAAUUGGCAGGCGAAUUCUUUACCACUGUGCCACCUGGACUGAGUAGCUAAAUGCUUGGUUAGAAGUAAUCUCAAAUGAAAUCUUUUAGAAUUUCCAAAAUCCUCAUAUGAUCCAAACUGUCAGGAUAUAUGUUUCCUGAAAUUCAGAGGGUAAUAUAUCCAUUUUCUGUGUAUUUAUAGGCUACUAGGGGGGCUAUCUUAAAUACCAUGUUACUUUGUAGAGAUGUCUUGGUUUUUGCCCGAAGUCCUUGUCCUGCUCCAGGAUGCCGGCUAGUGCCCACAUUGCGUUCGCUGUUAGGUCUGCUUAGACUUCUCUUGGUCGUGACAGUUUCUCAGCCUUUUCUUGUAUUUUAUGAUCUUGACAG
ensembl:lncRNA